AAAACGGUGAGCAAACCACAAUGACUCCGAAGAGUGGGAACACCAAAUGCAGGCUCUUUGAAACUUCCAGGAGUCUCAGGAGGCCAAGAAGAUAUCAGAUCCCUUGGAACUGGAAUUACAGAUAGUUGUGAGCCACCAUGUGUAUCAUGAGAAUGGAACUCAGGUCCUCUGGAAGAGCAGCCACUACACCACUUCUCCAGUCCUUGAUUUGAGUUUUUUGCUGUCCAUGAACUGAAGAUAUUCAACAAGUUUUAGAGACAUUAAUUUGCCACUGUUGCAUAAAAUCUUUAUCAAAAAUAAAAGUUUAUUAUAAAUAUCAAAUGUGUUUUAAACAAUGAAAUAUAAUCUUUUGGUUCCAUUGAUUGUCCUAUAAUUUUAUGUAUGAUGUUUGCUGAAAUUUUUAAAGAAAUAAGGAAAACAAUGUAUUUGCAUUUAGAUUUGGUCACCAGCAAAGAGCAAUCUCGUAAUUCAUUUUGCUUGAAACACAUCUUUUUGGAAUGUGACUUUGGAAAUUUUUAU